rnacentral:rRNA from 1 species
AACAUGCAAGUCGAACGGCAGCGGGCCUUCGGGUGCCGGCGAGUGGCGAACGGGUGAGUAACGCAUCGGAACGUGCCAUUGAGUGGGGGAUAACGUAGCGAAAGUUGCGCUAAUACCGCAUAUUCUGUGAGCAGGAAAGCAGGGGACCGCAAGGCCUUGCGCUGAUUGAGCGGCCGAUAUCAGAUUAGCUAGUUGGUGGGGUAACGGCUCACCAAGGCGACGAUCUGUAGCGGGUCUGAGAGGAUGAUCCGCCACACUGGAACUGAGACACGGUCCAGACUCCUACGGGAGGCAGCAGUGGGGAAUUUUGGACAAUGGGCGCAAGCCUGAUCCAGCCAUGCCGCGUGAGUGAAGAAGGCCUUCGGGUUGUAAAGCUCUUUCGGCCGGGAAAAAAUCGCAUGCGGCUAAUACCCUGUGUGGAUGAUGGUACCGGAAUAAGAAGCACCGGCUAACUACGUGCCAGCAGCCGCGGUAAUACGUAGGGUGCGAGCGUUAAUCGGAAUUACUGGGCGUAAAGCGUGCGCAGGCGGUUUUGUAAGACAGGCGUGAAAUCCCCGGGCUCAACCUGGGAACUGCGCUUGUGACUGCAAGGCUAGAGUAUGGCAGAGGGGGGUGGAAUUCCACGUGUAGCAGUGAAAUGCGUAGAGAUGUGGAGGAACACCGAUGGCGAAGCAGCCCCCUGGGCCAAUACUGACGCUCAUGCACGAAAGCGUGGUAGCAAACAGGAUUAGAUACCCUGGUAGUCCACGCCCUAAACGAUGUCAACUAGGUGUUGGGUGGGUAAAACCAUUUAGUACCGGAGCUAACGCGUGAAGUUGACCGCCUGGGAGUACGCCGCAAGUUAAAACUCAAGGAAUUGACGGGACCCGCACAGCGUGAUGAUGUGAUAUCGAUGCACGCGAAAACUUACUACCUU